GACGAACCGUGCGAACGUUGUUCGGAUUCACUGGGCUUGAAGGGCGCGUAGGCGGCUUGCCAAGUCAGGGGUGAAAUCUUUCGGCUCAACCGGAAAACAGCUCCUGAUACUGGCGGGCUUGAGGAGGGUAGGGGCAGAUGGAACUUCCGGUGGAGCGGUGAAAUGCGUAGAUAUCGGAAGGAACGCCGGUGGCGAAAGCGAUCUGCUGGACCCUUUCUGACGCUGAGGCGCGAAAGCCAGGGGAGCAAACGGG
rnacentral:rRNA from 1 species